rnacentral:rRNA from 1 species
UGAGGAAUAUUGCGCAAUGGGGGCAACCCUGACGCAGCGACGCCGCGUGAGUGAGGAAGGCCUUCGGGUCGUAAAGCUCUGUCAAAGGGAAAGAAGUGCAUGAUGGCUAAUACCUGUCAUGUUUGACGGUACCCUUAAAGGAAGCACCGGCUAACUCCGUGCCAGCAGCCGCGGUAAUACGGAGGGUGCAAGCGUUGUUCGGAAUUACUGGGCGUAAAGGGCGCGUAGGCGGUUUGAUAAGUCAGAUGUGAAAGCCCACGGCUUAACUGUGGAAGUGCAUUUGAUACUGUCAGACUUGAGUACCAGAGGGGAAAGUGGAAUUCCCGGUGUAGAGGUGAAAUUCGUAGAUAUCGGGAGGAAUACCGGUGGCGAAGGCGACUUUCUGGCUGGAUACUGACGCUGAGGCGCGAAAGCGUGGGGAGCAAACA